GUGCUCGCUUGGGCAGCACAUAUACUAAAAUUAGAACUAUACAGAGAAGAUUAGCAUGGCCCCUGUGCAAGGAUGCCAAGCAAAUUAGUGAAGUGUUCCAUAUUUUU